GACGAACGCUGGCGGCGUGCUCAACACAUGCAGGUCGAACGGAAAGGCCUGCUUUCCCUUGUGGAUUGCGGGUACUCGAGUGGCGAACGGGUGAGUAACACGUGAGUGAUCUGCCCCCAACUUGGGUAUAAGCCUGGGAAACUGGGUCUAAUUCCCGAUAGGACUGCAGGGUGGUGCCUGUGGUGGAAAACGAUUUUCUAGUGGUUGGGGAUGAGCUCGCGGCCUAUCAGCUUGUUGGUGGGGUAAUGGCCUACCAAGGCGGCGACGGGUAGCCGGCCUGAGAGGGUGGACGGCCACAUUGGGACUGAGAUACGGCCCAGACUCCUACGGGAGGCAGCAGUGGGGAAUAUUGCACAAUGGGCGGAAGCCUGAUGCAGCGACGCCGCGUGGGGGAUGACGGCCUUCGGGUUGUAAACUCCUUUCGACCGCGAGGAAGCCACCUGGUUGGAAGGGUGGUGACGGUAGUGGUAGAAGAAGCACCGGCUAACUACGUG
rnacentral:rRNA from 1 species